AUGCUUAUCUGGCAGGGGACAUACCAGGGCGAGGCUUAUCUGUUACACUCCAGAUGUGCCAACCUCUGUGAGUUCCCCAAAUGUGGGAAAAUGGACUGCAUAAUUUGUGGUAGUGGGGGACUUGUUCUCACUCUCCCCUG
rnacentral:snRNA from 1 species